rnacentral:tmRNA from 1 species
CCCCUUCCCCUGGCGAGGCAAAAACCCUAUAUUCGGCGGUGCCGGGCAACCGGCUAUGACGAUAAACGGCUUGCGUAAUAGCCGAUGCGGACCCGGGGGCAGUGCCCGGCGCCUCCACCAUCUCCGGUCGCUUGUCGAGGCCGUAGGGGGGCGAACCAGGAUCGACGCGCGGGUAAAGGCAUGACUUUCGUUCGGCAUGGUUCCGCCGUUAUCGGGCCAUUCAAGAGAUGCCAACGACAACGUGGCUCUCGCUUCGGAAGCGCGUCUCGCGGCCUAACGGCCCCUUGAUACGUAACCUGUAGCGCGGUUCGGGGGGGCACCGGGCAACAGAAGCCCCCCCACU